GACCCAGUGAGUCGACUUACAGAGCUGGUGAAAGGUAACUCAGGCUGAAGCAAUUUUUACAAAUGAUAUGCAGCAGUUCAUAAAUCGCAUUUUCCUUUGCUGAUCUGUAGCCCAAGGAUGCAAAAAUCCUUCAUCACCUCAUCACAAACAUCUCUUCUUAUCUGCUGCUGAAGACUGACCAUGUACAAGCUGCCUUUAUGCUGAAGGAUGCCACCCUGAAAUGGCUACUCAAGAGUCAUUACUCAAAGGAAUAGCCCGGGGGAAAAAAAAACACACACACAAAACCACCAAGAAAACCACAAAACAAACCCACUCACCCCUCCCAAUCAUGCCCCCUCCCAAAACAAGAAAGAACCCGAGGAAAUAAUCACUGGCAAAGUCUGGAGAUGAUACAGUAAUUGAAGAAAAACAGCCAUGGAACAGCGAAGAGAAUGGAUUACUGCCACCACACUACCUGAACUGCCCAGGCAGGCUGGCACUACAAAAUAACAGAUGGACGGUGCUGUGAGUCCUGGAGAGACUUGGGAGAGGCAGAAGCUGAGCUGGAUCCUAGAGGAAGACAGGAAGUCAUCCUUCAUCCCUCUAUGGAGACAGAAGUUGGGGAAGACAAGAAAUUAGUGAAGGAAAAAGAAGACAGACAGGAUGGGGGUGGGGAGCAGUGAGGCCGACCUGAAAAGAUUUGUGAUCACUACACUAGGAAAUAGAUGAGAUUUUGGAGCUAAUUUACUACAGUCUAAUUUACAUGUGAAAUCUGAGGUAAGGGUCAAUGCACACUCUAACAAGGAACAAUAUGAAAAUGUUUUCUGAUAAUCUGCCCCAAGUCUCUUUAAAAAUCAC